UACGGAGGGUGCGAGCGUUGUCCGGAAUCAUUGGGCGUAAAGCGCACGUAGGCGGCUCCAAAAGUCGGAUGUGAAAUCCCUGGGCUCAACCGAGGAAGUGCAUCCGAAACUGCGGAGCUUGAGUAUGGAAGAGGGUCGCGGAAUUCCCGGUGUAGAGGUGAAAUUCGUAGAUAUCGGGAGGAACACCAGUGGCGAAGGCGGCGACCUGGGCCAAUACUGACGCUGAGGUGCGAAAGCGCGGGGAGCAAACAGG
rnacentral:rRNA from 1 species